GGGAGUUUGGUCUAGUGGUAUGAUUCUCGCUUUGGGUGCGAGAGGUCGCGGGUUCGCUCCCGCAACUCCCC